CCCCUGUGCUCCUGUUCCUGCUUGUUUCUCAAGCCUCUGCAGCAAUCCCUCUGCAGCUCCUACUGUUUCCUGACCAGUGUUCCCUCUAACAGGGAUAGGUGUUGUUGACUACAACUCCCAGAAUCCCCAGUGAAAGGCCACUGCAUCCUUUCUGCAGUGUAUCCCUGUUAGAGCGAACAGUGUUCCUGACCUGGACUUUGACCAGCCUUCAGGCCUCUACUUCAGUGAGAUAUCUGACUCCACCACCCUAAACUCUGCCUCAGCGCCUGUCACUUGAGGCAGCCAAUAGUGUGUAACAAGUGAGAAGACGCAGACAUCAUAAUGACAGCAGGACGCACAGAAUGACAGAAGGUUGUACAUCAACAGAAAUCUAUUAUUGUGAAUCUAACAGAGAAAAAGCUUUUCAGUCUCACCUACCAUGACCUUCAAGCUUCUAACAGACUCACAGACAUUUCUGUCGAACAAUUUAUAGAUGUAUUAAGAGGGCUACAUUGGAAGACGUUCACAUUUUACUGAACUCUUGGGCCUUAACAAGUAGGCAUACCAAAUGCAAGCUCCUGAAUUACUGCAGUUCAGCUGUUGUAGAAGAAAUUCUAAUGUAGAGCAAAUGGCCUCUGUUACUUACAACCUCCACUCUAUGUAAUACUUGAACCACAACAGCCUCUCAAGAUAAUAUUAUUUUUAUACCAAAAAUGGUAUUUGCAGAUGUUCAUGUUACUCUAGAAGCUGUUAUUUUAAAAAGUCUGACAUUCUGUGCAGUGUUAAAGUAGCAUAACAGGAGCUGAGUCAGUGGAAGACUCUGCACUGCAGCUCCGCCCAAUAUGUUGCCAGCAAGGAAAGGCAUGCUGAGGAGCAGGGGGAGCAAUUUCUGCUGCUCUCUCCUCCCUACAAAAGGACUUUUUGAUUUCAGGAAUACAUCCUUGAGGGCUGCACAGCUUCCACUGAUACAGCUUUUGUUACACAGUUGUAACUGCACAGAAUGUCAGCCACUACAUCUUAGAAAGAAAAUUGGAGUAUUUCUGUCACCUUUUGUAAAGUUGGCUUAGGGAUGGUAGGGAUGCUACUUUAGCAGCGCACACAAUUAAAAAGGUGAAACACAGACUGUGCCCAUCAUGACAUCCUACGCACACAUCCCAAUGCCCCGCCCCACAAUAAAGCAACACAUUGUCAGGACUUCCACAGAGGACAUUAUGAUGGGGUGCUAUCUCGGUGCUUUCCCUUUUUAAUCUCAUGAGAGGGAAAGCAUAGUUGGAACUGACCCAAAGCCAAUACACAAAUCUAAAUCUUGAAUGUUAUACAAAGACUGGUCUAUCAAGUGAAAUGCAGCUCAUGGAAGACAGUAUAAAUAACACCACAUAUUCACCUUUGUGUAGUUGGAAUGGAUUGUUUUUUGACAAGACCAUCAUGAUUGGUCAAUCCUGGGAUUCUUAUCCAAUGUACAUUCCAGUCAGUCAUUGUCCUCAUACGGUUUAAUAAAGAAACU